CCUUUGUACACACCGCCCGUCGCUACUACCGAUUGAAUGGCUUAGUGAGACCUCCGGAUUGAUAAAUAGCAUCUGGCAACAGAAGCCGUUUGUUAAGAAGUUGGUCAAACUUGGUCAUUUAGAGG
rnacentral:rRNA from 1 species